CACGCUCCCUCUUAAUCAAGAAUCAAGACAUAUGUUUGCCUUACUUGGGAAUGUAUAAGAAGAUGAACGGGAGGAUGAGUCUGGGCCAGCAUUUUCGUUAUUCGGGAUCCAAAAAUUACCACACAUCAACCAUUUUUUUCCUUUUUGUGUCAAAGGCCAGAAAGUUGAUGCCAGCAAACUUCAAGACAUUCUGAGAAGCUAUGGCAUUAAACUCAAUCCUAACGAAAUAGAAAACUUGAAAAAGAUGUUGCCAGUGGAUGAUGAUGGAAAAGUUUCUCAGAAAAGGUUGUUGAAGGGUGUGACGACUCUGGAUGAAGCCACUGUUGAUGUCAAUAACCUGGAUAAGUUUUUAGAAAGCAUGGGGAUUGAGAUCACUGAGAAAGAAUUCACAGAUCUAACAAACAUGCUGCCAGAGACUGCUGAUGGGAAAGUGGAAAUAAAUGAUGUAAUGGAAAAACUAAAUACUGUUUUAGGAGGGUCAGUGGAUAUUAAUGAUGUAGAAAACAUUCUGCAAGACAUGAAAGUUGAAUACACAGAUAAAGACUAUUUGAAUCUGAUAAAACAUCUUUCACGUAAUGCUUCCGGAAAAGUGUUUAGAAAAAGGCUAUUGGAUGGUAUAAAGAGUCUUAAAAGAGGAAAAAUUGAUGUGAAUAACUUGAGCCCAUUUCUGGAAAACAUGGGGAUUGAACUCUCACAGAAUGAGUUUGAAGACUUUGUAGAAAGUCUACCAGUUGAUGAAAAUGGAAAGGUUGAUCUAAAAAGCGUUGUGUCAAAAAUGAAAGACUUCGUAGGAGAAAAGAUUGGUGUCGGUGGCCUGAGAAACACUGUGGAACAGAUGGGAGUUGAAGUGAAUGAUAAAGAGUAUGUGGACCUGCUGGGAAAGCUGCCAUUCGAUGGUAAGCUGUGGGCAUGUUCCUGAGACCUCCAAAACUUUAGGCCUAU
rnacentral:lncRNA from 14 species